rnacentral:rRNA from 1 species
AUUGAACGCUGGCGGCAGGCCUAACACAUGCAAGUCGAGCGGUAGCACAGGAGAGCUUGCUCUCCGGGUGACGAGCGGCGGACGGGUGAGUAAUGUCUGGGAAACUGCCUGAUGGAGGGGGAUAACUACUGGAAACGGUAGCUAAUACCGCAUAACGUCGCAAGACCAAAGAGGGGGACCUUCGGGCCUCUUGCCCUCAGAUCUGCCCAGAUGGGAUUAGCUAGUAGGUGGGGUAACGGCUCACCUAGGCGACGAUCCCUAGCUGGUCUGAGAGGAUGACCAGCCACACUGGAACUGAGACACGGUCCAGACUCCUACGGGAGGCAGCAGUGGGGAAUAUUGCACAAUGGGCGCAAGCCUGAUGCAGCCAUGCCGCGUGUAUGAAGAAGGCCUUCGGGUUGUAAAGUACUUUCAGCGGGGAGGAAGGUGCUGAGGUUAAUAACCUCAGCAAUUGACGUUACCCGCAGAAGAAGUACCGGCUAACUCCGUGCCAGCCGCCGCGGUAAUAC